rnacentral:ncRNA from 1 species
UAAAAGUUUUAUCCUGGCUUGUUCUUUUGUUUUCAGAUUAAUAGGUACAUGUAAGGUUUUUUCGUGCCGAUAAAAAUUUAAAUACGUGUUAGAUACAUUUAAAGUUUGAUAUUAAAAGAUAUUGAUGAAAUAUAAAUUCGCAGUACCUAGUGCUAAUAAUAUAAAUGAAAGUUGGAAUUGGUAAUUCUGGUAGUUAUAUCUGGUUAAAAUUUGUGCCAGCAGCCGCGGUUAUACUGAGAGAUAAAAUGAAAGAAAGUUGGUUAAAGAUUCUUAAAUGACACGUUAAUAUAAUUAAAUUAAAUUUGUACUAAUAAAGGGUGAAAUUAGUUUUUGGUGAGCAAAGGUAGUUUGUUUUUAAUGAGAUUGAGGUUGUUAAGAUUAAGGUAUGGACCAGGAUUAGAUACCCUGUUACACUUUAUUUUAAAGUAAUGUUACCUGGGUAGUAAGCAGUUAUUGUCUUGAAACUCAAAGGAUUUGGCGGUAACUUAGUCUAGUUAGAGGAACCUGUCCUGUAAUCGAUAGUCCACGAAGUAUCUUACUUUACCUUGUGAGAGACAGUUUGUAUACCGUCAUUAUUAGAUAACUUUAAAAAGAUUUUUAGUUGUUGAAAUAGUUUUAAACUAGUAUAUUAGAUCAAGGUGCAGCUUAUGGUAAAGAAGAGAUGGGUUACAAUAAAAUUUUUUAUAAGACGGAUUAAAGAAUGAAUUUCUUUAUGAAGGUGGAUUUAAAAGUAAGGUGAUUUUAAUAUGAUCAUUUGAUUAUAGCUCUAGGUUAUGUACACAUCGCCCGUCGCUCUCGUUAAUUAAAGCGAGAUAAGUCGUAACAUAGUAGGUGUACUGGAAAGUGUACCUAGAAAUUC